rnacentral:tRNA from 1 species
CGCGGGGUGGAGCAGUCUGGUCAGCUCGUCGGGCUCAUAACCCGAAGGUCGUUGGUUCAAAUCCAUCCCCCGCAACCA